rnacentral:rRNA from 1 species
UUUCGGGUCCAAACAGGCACACUCAAACGCAACCCGCGUACGGGCCGGCCGGUGUUGAGCAACUUUGCAUUGUGCACACCACAAACUCCCUUUCAGUUCGAGAGAAGAUUUCAAUAUGCGUUUCUUCCCCCUUGCGCGUCUGUUUGACUCCUUGGUCCGUGUUUCAAGACGGGUGGAAAUACCCCAUUCGUUCGUUGUCAAUUUUGAGAGAAUCCAGCGGGAAGCGACGCACGUCACUCAGAGGACCGGGGGGGUUGGCCCCGAUGAACUGAGCCGACGCCGCUUUAUCCCCGCGUUAUUUCAUCACCAAACCCUCGGGUCAGCAGGUGUUUCGCUCGGUGGGUUCCCGAAGGAAAAUCCGCCAAGAGUAACGCUGCGAGGUUGGUCUUGACCCAGGAAUGGAGGUACUUCCAUUACCAUUGUCACGACUUCAGGUUCUAUGUCACUCUCUUUCCAAAGUGCUUUUCAAACUUUCGCUCACGCUACUUGUUCGCUAUCGGUCUUCCUA